CUAACUGGAGGACCGAACCGACUAAUGUUGAAAAAUUAGCGGAUGACUUGUGGCUGGGGGUGAAAGGCCAAUCAAACCGGGAGAUAGCUGGUUCUCCCCGAAAGCUAUUUAGGUAGCGCCUCGUGAAUUCAUCUCCGGGGGUAGAGCACUGUUUCGGCAAGGGGGUCAUCCCGACUUACCAACCCGAUGCAAACUGCGAAUACCGGAGAAUGUUAUCACGGGAGACACACGGCGGGUGCUAACGUCCGUCGUGAAGAGGGAAACAACCCAGACCGCCAGCUAAGGUCCCAAAGUCAUGGUUAAGUGGGAAACGAUGUGGGAAGGCCCAGACAGCCAGGAUGUUGGCUUAGAAGCAGCCAUCAUUUAAAGAAAGCGUAAUAGCUCACUGGUCGAGUCGGCCUGCGCGGAAGAUGUAACGGGGCUAAACCAUGCACCGAAGCUGCGGCAGCGACGCUUAUGCGUUGUUGGGUAGGGGAGCGUUCUGUAAGCCUGCGAAGGUGUGCUGUGAGGCAUGCUGGAGGUAUCAGAAGUGCGAAUGCUGACAUAAGUAACGAUAAAGCGGGUGAAAAGCCCGCUCGCCGGAAGACCAAGGGUUCCUGUCCAACGUUAAUCGGGGCAGGGUGAGUCGACCCCUAAGGCGAGGCCGAAAGGCGUAGUCGAUGGGAAACAGGUUAAUAUUCCUGUACUUGGUGUUACUGCGAAGGGGGGACGGAGAAGGCUAUGUUGGCCGGGCGACGGUUGUCCCGGUUUAAGCGUGUAGGCUGGUUUUCCAGGCAAAUCCGGAAAAUCAAGGCUGAGGCGUGAUGACGAGGCACUACGGUGCUGAAGCAACAAAUGCCCUGCUUCCAGGAAAAGCCUCUAAGCAUCAGGUAACAUCAAAUCGUACCCCAAACCGACACAGGUGGUCAGGUAGAGAAUACCAAGGCGCUUGAGAGAACUCGGGUGAAGGAACUAGGCAAAAUGGUGCCGUAACUUCGGGAGAAGGCACGCUGAUAUGUAGGUGAAGUCCCUCGCGGAUGGAGCUGAAAUCAGUCGAAGAUACCAGCUGGCUGCAACUGUUUAUUAAAAACACAGCACUGUGCAAACACGAAAGUGGACGUAUACGGUGUGACGCCUGCCCGGUGCCGGAAGGUUAAUUGAUGGGGUUAGCCGCAAGGCGAAGCUCUUGAUCGAAGCCCCGGUAAACGGCGGCCGUAACUAUAACGGUCCUAAGGUAGCGAAAUUCCUUGUCGGGUAAGUUCCGACCUGCACGAAUGGCGUAAUGAUGGCCAGGCUGUCUCCACCCGAGACUCAGUGAAAUUGAACUCGCUGUGAAGAUGCAGUGUACCCGCGGCAAGACGGAAAGACCCCGUGAACCUUUACUAUAGCUUGACACUGAACAUUGAGCCUUGAUGUGUAGGAUAGGUGGGAGGCUUUGAAGUGUGGACGCCAGUCUGCAUGGAGCCGACCUUGAAAUACCACCCUUUAAUGUUUGAUGUUCUAACGUUGACCCGUAAUCCGGGUUGCGGACAGUGUCUGGUGGGUAGUUUGACUGGGGCGGUCUCCUCCUAAAGAGUAACGGAGGAGCACGAAGGUUGGCUAAUCCUGGUCGGACAUCAGGAGGUUAGUGCAAUGGCAUAAGCCAGCUUGACUGCGAGCGUGACGGCGCGAGCAGGUGCGAAAGCAGGUCAUAGUGAUCCGGUGGUUCUGAAUGGAAGGGCCAUCGCUCAACGGAUAAAAGGUACUCCGGGGAUAACAGGCUGAUACCGCCCAAGAGUUCAUAUCGACGGCGGUGUUUGGCACCUCGAUGUCGGCUCAUCACAUCCUGGGGCUGAAGUAGGUCCCAAGGGUAUGGCUGUUCGCCAUUUAAAGUGGUACGCGAGCUGGGUUUAGAACGUCGUGAGACAGUUCGGUCCCUAUCUGCCGUGGGCGCUGGAGAACUGAGGGGGGCUGCUCCUAGUACGAGAGGACCGGAGUGGACGCAUCACUGGUGUUCGGGUUGUCAUGCCAAUGGCACUGCCCGGUAGCUAAAUGCGGAAGAGAUAAGUGCUGAAAGCAUCUAAGCACGAAACUUGCCCCGAGAUGAGUUCUCCCUGACUCCUUGAGAGUCCUGAAGGAACGUUGAAGACGACGACGUUGAUAGGCCGGGUGUGUAAGCGCAGCGAUGCGUUGAGCUAACCGGUACUAAUGAACCGUGAGGCUUAACCUUACAACGCCGAAG
rnacentral:rRNA from 1 species